GCCUUCGGGUUCGCAUUGUAAUUUGUAGAGGAUGAUUUGGGGAAGCCGCCUGUCUAAGUUCCUUGGAACAGGACGUCAUAGAGGGUGAGAAUCCCGUAUGUGACAGGAAAUGGCACCCUAUGUAAAUCUCCUUCGACGAGUCGAGUUGUUUGGGAAUGCAGCUCUAAAUGGGAGGUAAAUUUCUUCUAAAGCUAAAUAUUGGCGAGAGACCGAUAGCGCACAAGUAGAGUGAUCGAAAGAUGAAAAGCACUUUGGAAAGAGAGUUAAAAAGCACGUGAAAUUGUUGAAAGGGAAGCGCUUGCAAUCAGACUUGUUUAAACUGUUCGGCCGGUCUUCUGACCGGUUUACUCAGUUUGGACAGGCCAGCAUCAGUUUCGGCGGCCGGAUAAAGGCUCUGGGAAUGUGGCCUCCACUUCGGUGGAGGUGUUAUAGCCCAGGGUGUAAUACGGCCAGCCGGGACUGAGGUCCGCGCUUCGGCUAGGAUGCUGGCGUAA
rnacentral:rRNA from 1 species